AGCGACUCCAGGGAGAAGUGGAAGCUUUGGAAGCGCCACCGGUCUGAAUCGGUGGGCUCCUCUCCCUGCCCCGAAGAGCCCCCGAGUGACCAGCUGCACACUUGAGACUUCACCCGGAUCCUGCGGAUCUGAAUGUCGGAAUCGGAACUGAUCAAGGUGCUCCAGAGUGGCAGCUUGUACCAGGAAAUGGAAUUCUUCAUUCUUUUCCACAGGGAAUUCCAGGUGAGGGAUGAUUCCCACCUGAACUUUAUGAGCAACAGGUCCCCAAUGUCGACCUCGGUUACCACCAGGAAGGAAUAGGUCUUGUUUGGUGAAAACCUCUCCACUCUGAACAAAACAGACGGAUAGCAUGAGGGCCUGACAUGACAUCAGUGAGAACGCUACAACCCAAACAGCAGAUGACCCAAUUUCAAGGCAUUGGUCCCUCCUCCACCAGCGCAGUGGCUGCAGUGUGGACCAUCUACAAAGUACCCUGCAGUUACUGACCCAGGAUACUCCGUCAGCACCUCUUAAAUAAAGGACAACAGGUGUGGGGCAACACCACCACUUACAGGUUCCCCUCCAAGUCACACACCAUCCUGAUUUGAAAAUGUAUCACCAUUCCUCCACAUCACUGGGUUUAAACCCUAGGACCCCCUCCCUAACAGCACUGUGGGACCACCUUCACCAGAAGGACUGCAGCAGUUCAAGGAGGUGGCUCAUUAUCACCGUUUCAAGGGCAGUGAAGGAUGGGCAAUGAAUUCUGCCCUCUCAGUGGUGCUCAUAUCCCAGAAAUAAACUUAAAAGGAAAUUAUCCAGGAGUUUGAGUCAGGGAUCAGUUCCAAGUAAUUUAUUUUUACAAGCAGCCUGCCAGCCUCCUGCCUGGUCACCAGGGAUGCCGUGCUCAGUAACCUGAGAAGCAGGAGGCAUCCUUCCAACUCUUAAAGGGAGCCCGAGUCGCAGUUUAUCCCAAGCCUGCUCUGCCGUUCAAUGACCUUGGCUCCAACACCACUCUCCCCUGGCACAGUGACUCCAAUGUAGUCCAAAUGUUUACCACUCUCCACCCUACACCAAAUGAUCCUGCCUCCACAGCCCUCUGUAGAAAUUCCGGAAAUUUAUGAUCUUCUGACAGAAGAAAUUCCUCCUCAUCUCUGUCUGAAAUGGACAACCCUUGUUCUGAAAUUCCGUCCCAUUGUUCUAGUUAUCCCCACUGGGGGAACAUCCUCUUAAAAUUCACCAUUAGUCCCCCUCAGAACCUCAUGAUUCAAUAAGAUCACCUCUCAUUCUUCGAUGCUCCGACAAGUUUCGGCCCAGUCUGCUUGACCUCUCUUUGCACAUCGCAGGCACCAACCCAGCGAACUCCUCUGCACCCUCCAAUGCAAGCCCACCCUCCGAACUAAAAACCGAGAUCUGCACUGUACCCAGUCCUCCAGGUGCGGUCUCACCAGUGUCCUGCACAGGUGCAUCAGAACUUCCCUACUUUUAUACUCCAAUAAAGGUCAGUAUUCCAUUAGUUUCUUCAUCACUUGCUGUACCUGCCACUAAUUUUUAGUGCUUCAGUCUUGCUUUCCCAUUCUCACAUUUUCCCCACAUUACUCCACCUGCCAACCCCUUGCUCACUCACCUAACCCGUCUCGAUCUCCCUGCAGGCUUGGUGUCUGCCUCACAACUUGGCACUGUUGUAUCAGCAGCAGAUCUGGCUCCAGUGGACUUGGUUCCUUCCUCCAGUUUUCAAUAAGUGAGGCCCCAGCCCUGGUCCCUGUGGCAGCCCACCAGUUCCUGCUGCCAGUCUGAAAAUGACCCACUUACUCUCACUGGAUACUUUCCUGUUAGUUAUUCUCCCUUCCUGUCUGUGCCAAUAAUUUACCACUAACCCCAUGAGGUCUUCUACUGGAAGCUUUUAUUUGGCAUUGACCGAUUCUGCUCGAUCAUUUUCUAAAUGUUCUGCUGUGACCUCUGUCAUGAAUUCCAGCAUUUUUACAAAUACUGGGCCAACUAGCCUUCGGUUUCCUGCCUUCAGUCUCCCUUCUUGAAUAGAGACUUCACAUUGUGGUUUUCCAGGCCUCUGGGACCUCUCCAGAAUCCAGGGGAUUUGGUCGAUCACAGCUCAGCCCCAGGCUGUAGGUCUCAGCUCCGGGACUUGCGCACCUUCACCCCUCUCAGUUUGCCCAGUCCCAUCCUGUAGUCCAUGAUUAUCUACUGUCGUUGCUUUCAGUGCCUGCUACGUGGAAGCUCCUACCAGUUGUUACGAACAUUUAUCAGUUCAGUUCCAUUCUCUCCUUCUCCCUCCUCAUCAUACUUUACCCUCUUUUCCUGCUUGUAUAAACAGUAAAGUUCCAAUAAUCCGCUAUCCGAUACCUGGUUCGCCUUUGACGUUUACCACACUCGCUUCUACUUAUGCCAUUGGUAGCAAUGUGGCCCAUGACGUCUGGCUGCUCAUGCCCCUGGCACUGGGGAGGUAACACACCAUCCCAGAGUUGUGUCUAUGGCCACAGAAACACUACUCUCUCCCAAUUACUGAAUCCCUGAUCACUACUACUCCCCAACUCUUCCCCCUCCCCUCCUGUGCGGUUGGGUCUCUUGCAGCGCCACUCUCCUGUCUCUGACUGCACUCCUCUGAGGAUUCACUGGCCCAAGGACAUCUGAAAGGGAAGAUCCGUGGUGUGAGAUGGACUCAGAGACCUCCUGCACUACCUCCCUGCUCCUGCCUCCUGGUCUGUCACCCUCGUCCAGCAGAGUGACCACUGCCCCGAACGUGUUAUCCAAGUGCAGCCUUGAGGAUGCACACGCCGUCUCCAUGUCCCAUCUGCUUCCUGACCCUGGAGCUCGAGCUGCUGUGGUGGAGGCACUUCCUGCACAUCUCCAUCACCGCAGGUGUCCACGGCUUCCACACUUCCAUGCCCGCUCCAUUCCCAUGCCCGGAUCAACUACUUUGUCUCGUGAGAUGGACCCAACUUCCCUUUUGCUGGUACGGGAGCUCUGGAAGCUGCUGAGGACCUCCCGUCACGGGACAUCUUCCCCCACACACCCCGCGGGACCUCCUGACGCGGGACAUCUCCCGUCCCGGGGCACCCUGACACGGGACAUCUCCCGUCCCGGGGCACCCUGACACGGGACAUCUCCCGUCCCGGGGCACCCUGACACGGGACAUCUCCCGUCCCGGGGCACCCUGACACGGGACAUCUCCCGUCCCGGGGCACCCUGACACGGGACAUCUCCCGUCCCGGGACACCCUGUCACGGGACAUCUCCCGUCCCGGGACCUCCUGUCACGGGACAUCUCCCGUCCCGGGACCUCCUGUCGCGGGACAUCUCCCCUCCCGUCGCAGAACAUCUCCCAUCCGGGACCUCCUGUCGCGGGAUGUCUCCCCCCCACACCUACUGUCCUUGUGGCGAAGCAUCUGCCUUGAGCAGGGAUCUACUGACAGAAGUUUCCUGGGGUCAGCUUAUUGCUUUGUUACAUUUAUCCAAUGGGCUGUUUUAGUUCCCAGUGACUGAAGUACUCACUCUUGCUCAUCUAUUUCCACACCACAAACCAUUGGGGUUCCCAGUGACCGGCCCGCCUUUGGCUCCAGCCGAUUACCAGCUCUGAAAGUGUCACUUAGUUUUCCACGUACAAGUCAAGGAACAUCAGAAAGUCCCUGGAGCUGUGGCAAGAUAAACUUUUCACGUGUGAUCCAGCUUCUAAUUCUUCCAGAGGAGCCGCUGUGAUCACUGAUAUCCUGAGAGGAGUAGGGAACUCCCCGACUCUCCCCAGCAACUUUCCCCUCUGACAGAACAGCUCAAAGGUGGAUGAGCUAAGUUACAAAUUGACUUUUUCAAAGCUUUUCAAGCUCUGCAGGGUGACAAAAUACUGGGUGCACAAACUGAAGCUCUAUCACAGUCUCUGGCUUGGAAUUUCUCAAAGGUUUGCUUUCACUGUAUUUCUCUGGUCCCUCUACUAUGGGAGGAUGCUGAGCACCUUCUAGUACUUCUACACAGUAAUAAUAACAUGGAGACAGUACUUCUGUUGGUAAGGAAAAAUUAAACCAAACAUUGAGCCUUGUAGAACUACAAUGAUGUCUCUGAUUAAUGCUGAGGCAAGAUGCUGAGAGAGGCAGCUGUCACUCUCAUCAGGAACAGUGUGCAGCUUAGACAGGCACCUGGACAAUGGGGUGUCCGGGGAAAACACUCAAACAGCACGGGGAAUGUGCGCUCUACUAUUGGGAAGGAAGCCUGUCCUU